GGCCUACCAUGGUGGUAACGGGUAACGGGGUGUUAGGGCACGACACCGGAGAGGGAGCCUGAGAAACGGCUACCACAUCCAAGGAUGGCAGCAGGCGCGCAAAUUACCCAAUCCCGACACGGGGAGGUAGUGACAAUAAAUAACAAUACGGGGUUCUUUCGGAUCUCGUAAUUGGAAUGAGUACAAUUUAAAUCUCUUAACGAGGAACAAUUGGAGGGCAAGUCUGGUGCCAGCAGCCGCGGUAAUUCCAGCUCCAAUAGCGUAUAUUAAAGUUGUUGCAGUUAAAAAGCUCGUAGUUGAAUUUCGGGACCAAUUUGUUGGUCGUGCCUCGGUACGUACUGGUAUUAAUGGUUUCUCCCUUCUGAAGAACCUUGAUGUCAUUAAUUUGGUGUCUUGGGGAAUCAGGACUGUUACUUUGAAAAAAUUAGAGUGUUUAAAGCAGGCAUACGCUUGAAUACAUUAGCAUGGAAUAAUGAAAUAGGACGUUUGAUUCUAUUUUGUUGGUUUCUAGGAUCGACAUAAUGAUUAAUAGGGAUAGUUGGGGGCAUUAGUAUUCAAUUGUCAGAGGUGAAAUUCUUGGAUUUAUUGAAGACUAACUACCGCGAAAGCAUUUGCCAAGGAUGUUUUCAUUAAUCAAGAACGAAAGUUAGGGGAUCGAAGACGAUCAGAUACCGUCGUAGUCUUAACCAUAAACUAUGCCGACUAGGGAUCGGAUGAUGUUAAUUUUUUAAUGACUCAUUCGGCGCCUUACG
rnacentral:rRNA from 1 species